UACGUAGGGACCAAGCGUUGUUCGGAUUUACUGGGCGUAAAGGGCGCGUAGGCGGCGUGACAAGUCACUUGUGAAAUCUCUGGGCUUAACCCAGAACGGCCAAGUGAAACUGUUGUGCUAGAGUGCAGAAGGGGCAAUCGGAAUUCCCGGUGUAGCGGUGAAAUGCGCAGAUAUCGGGAAGAACACCCGUGGCGAAGGCGGCUCUCUGGGACGGUACUGACGCUGAGACGCGAAAGCGUGGGGAGCGAACAGG
rnacentral:rRNA from 1 species